rnacentral:rRNA from 1 species
UACGUAGGGGGCAAGCGUUGUCCGGAUUUAUUGGGCGUCAAGAGCGUGUAGGCGGUUUGGUAGGUCCGCUGUGAAAACUCGAGGCUCAACCUCGAGACGUCGAUGGAAACCAUCUGGCUAGAGUCCGGAAGAGGAGAGUGGAAUUCCUGGUGUAGCGGUGAAAUGCGCAGAUAUCAGGAAGAACACCCGUGGCGAAGGCGGCUCUCUGGUACGUGACUGACGCUGAGACGCGAAAGCGUGGGGAGCAAACAGG